UGGCGAACGGGUGAGUAACACGUGGGUGAUCUGCCCUGCACUUUGGGAUAAGCCUGGGAAACUGGGUCUAAUACCAGAUAGUACCAUGCUUUGGAUGGUGUGGUGGAAAGUUUUUUCGGUGUGGGAUGAGCUUGCGGCCUAUCAGCUUGUUGGUGGGGUAAUGGCCUACCAAGGCGUCGACGGGUAGCCGGCCUGAGAGGGUGUACGGCCACAUUGGGACUGAGAUACGGCCCAG
rnacentral:rRNA from 1 species